CACUAUUGAUGAACAUUGUUUUGGUUUGAGGGCAGUGGAAGUGAGGACAACAUCUUGCUGAGCGUUGAAUAGUUGUGUGUAGCUAUGGCGUCGACAGUUUAAAGCAAAUAUGUGUAAUAUGGCUGUGCAUCAAGAAUAAGUGGAUUUUAUUUUUUAUUUACAAUCUGUAUCGUGUGUUCUAUUUAAAUGCCCAAGUGCCUGAUGUAACUAAGUUCUGCGUUCUGUGAUUGUUUAUCGACACAGUUACACAUAACAUGAAGGCGUUGUACUAGUGGCUAGCAAUUUUGCUGUGGCAGGGUAGUAGUAAUGAAGAUGAGCCCAGGAUAUUGCGCUCAAGCGAAUGUAUGUAGCCCGAGGGGGGCACUAUUUUUUUGUUUUGUUUGGGAAUAAGGGAGGAUGGAACUAAAAGUUUGGGUGGAAGGCAUUCAGCGCAUAGUGUGUGGCGUCACUGACAGCACGACUUGUCAGGAUGUUGUUUAUGCGCUGGCACAUGCCACAGGGAAGACUGGUCGGUUCACUCUGAUUGAAAGGUGGAGAAAUGUUGAUAGACUUCUUGCACCACAUGAACAUCCACUUGAGAUCUUGACAAAAUGGGGAGAGUAUUCAAAUGAUGUGCAAUUCAUUCUGGAACGUUCAAAGUUGGAGGGACCAAGAAUAAGUGGACAGCAACAAGUACGUCAAAAACCAGUGGAUCCCCUACGAGGCCUAGUUACGACAGCUACAUCACCAUCUUUGGGGCUUAACGAAUCACCCGACUGGCGUACAAAUUCACCACAUGUACCAGAUCGAAGUAAAGACAUUAGGAAAUCACUGACAUUCAGUGGUGGCCAUCAUGGACAUGUGCUGACAGAAAUAAGACGGGGUGACAAUGUAGGUAUAGUUAAAGGUGUACCUCAAGUGAAACAACCACUGGAGGUACGAGAUGACCAAGAUUUGCCUAAUAAGGCGUUAGACAAUGGUUCUCCUAGUCAGACCGUGAACUCUUCUAAUUCUGAUGGCACUGCCUCACCUUUUGGUUACCGCAGUACUGGACAGGGAAGACGUGACGCUCCUCCUCCACCAUACAGAGAACCACCCAGACCUUCAUCUCCACCUCAACGCUGCCUUCCGCCAUAUCGUGACCCACCUCCUCCGGUACAUACUCCACGAAAUGGGCCUUCACCGAGCCGAGAGACAGCAGUUUCACCUCCGCCAUCAGCUAGCCGUAGUAAACCAAAGAAGAAUCUGCUCAAGGAUUUUCAGCAGUCUGUGGAGGGGAAUGGCGAUUGCCAUCAAGAGUCUGUUCUUUACAAUGCCCAGUACAGAGAUCUGAUGAGGCUUGUCAAUUACCAGAGAGAAAAACUUGCUGCCCAGCAGGCAGAAAUUGCAAAGUAUGAUGCUGAAAUAUCAUUUUGGGAAGGUAAAACACGAGAACACCAACAACAGAUGGAGUUCCUUUCACAGGAAAUAGCAAGAUAUGAAGCAGCAGCUCGCGUAAGUGAAGAACAAUUACGGCAGUUGGUGAAUGUAGAAGAAGAGAGUGAGAUUGUGCGUCAGCAAGAGAAGACUUUGAAAUCUGAACUCACAUUGUUACGUUCAAAACUUGCAAACUGUGAGACUGAAUUGCUUCAGUGCAAAAACAAAAUAAGGCUGUUGCUAGAGGAAUUGCAAUUGGAGCAAAGAUACGUGCUGCGGGAAUAUGAAGAUAGACAGUCUCUGGAGCGAUCAUUGUUGGGAGAGAUGGAACGUUUGCAACGGGAGGUGGAACAAGCACGUCAGAAUGCUGAGAUGUCUGCUCUUUGUGCUGAGAAUUUGAAGAGAGAGGUAUUAACUGGUCUCAGCCCUUGAAUCUGCAAUCGCUGACAAGAAACGUCAGGUGGAGCAUCUUGUCACAGAAAUGAAAGAAGCUAAUUUGCAAAGCCUUGCUAUAGCUCCUGCAGAUGAAAUAAAACACUUGUUAGAAGGUCCCCAUAAACCAGGAAGCACUCGCAAGAUGAUUGGUUCUCCCAGACAACUAGAAAAUGCUGUUCCUACAAGUAAAAAUCCCCAUGGUGUGUGGGUGUAAUGGUUUACAUGUUCACAUGUACCAGAUUGUGCAUAUCUGAAAAGUACUUUACCAUAGUUGUGUAUUUAAUGAAUGAAGCUGUAUUUAAUUUUUUUAAUGUUUGUGUAUUUAAUGAUAAAAAAGUCAUAAUUUUCACCAGUCUUUCAGCCAACACACAUCUUUUUCCAGUAAACACUGAAGAACCAAAGUAGAAAACUUUUAUUUUUAAAAUAAUUUUUGUGGUUCUGUUUAAGAUGAUAUCUAUUUGUAUGCUUGUAAUUUUGGGAAAUACAAGUGUAUUUUCUAGUAAGGCAAAAAUAGAAACUGAAUGCUUCACUUGCUGUCUGUUACUUGUAACUCUGAUAUUUAGAAUUACAUUGUUUUCAUGUUGAUAAAAUCAAGUAGACUUACAACGUUAAUGUCAACCACUGUGGGUGUUAUCUGCAUUAAGGCAUGGGUCAAGAACCUUCAAAACUGUCAGCAAAAUUUAUAUUCUCUUAAGCAUUUCUUACAUUAAAUGCAGAGUAAAUUUUGAAAAAUGACACGUUUCAUUGAUCCAUAUUGCAGACUGCUGUCAUCAGUGGUGUAUUUUUCUAUUUGACUGCUCAAUUGUAUGUAUUGAGUUUAAACAUAGAGAUUUAAUCCUCAAUUCUAUUGGUUUUGCACCUACUUUUGCAAUAUUCCAUUUACAAAAAUAUACUGCAUGUAAUAUUAUUAUUUCAGUGCACUCUAUUGAUGAGUACAGGCUUUGUGAGUAAUAUAUUUUGCACUUAGUAUGUGUGAAAUUGUUACAUCCCAAAAUUUAGAACUGGUAAAAAUAUACAAUUGCACAAGCAUUGACUGUACACAUAAUUUUGUGUGAUUUAUUUUUAAUUGACUGUUACAUGUAUUUAUAUUUUCUAAAGCAAUGUAAAUAUACUUUUGUCUUUUUAAGUUUUUGAAAGAAGGGGGAAGACACCGUGAACAAAAUACACCCAUUAGAGGUGAAAAAAUGCAUUUAGCAGAAAAAUAUUGUUAGAUGAAUAAUUCAUGUAUAUUUACAAAUGAAAAUGCAAUAUCUACCAUAUUUACACCAAUUAUUUAUGACCUGUACAGCUUUUGUGCAGUGUGAAAGGAAAGUUCAUAUCAUAAUACGUAUACAAUAAAAAGUGAAGUGUUAUGAAAAUUUUUUGUCGUACAUUUAUGUUGUAGAAUACACUGUAUGUGCUCCCAUUCACAUUUGAAAGCAACGGGGUGUUAUGUUUUUUUCCUAAUUUUAAAAAAUUCAUAGAAUUACUAACAAUCUGAGUGUGACAGUUUAAUUUUCUGUUUCAUGAUAUGGGGGAGUAAUGUACACACAUCCACACAUAUCAUUUCCUUCUUGUUGAUGGAGCUGUGAGUUUUAUGUUAGCAAACAAGGUCAACGUUAAAAUAGAAAAGACUGUUGUUA
rnacentral:misc_RNA from 1 species